UCUCUCUCUCUCUCUCUUUCUCUCUCUGUAUGGAUAGACAAGAAAGAAAGGAAGAAAAUAAGCAAGAAAGAGAGAGAGUGGGAGAAUUUUUGUUUGAUUUUUGGGUUUUUGGUUGAAAUUGGUAAUAGUAAUAAUAAUAAACAAGAAACAAUAAUAGUCAACAAUCACAAGAUGGGGUGUUUUCGCUGUACUGGGCAAUCAAGCAAGCGACCAGAGAGGAGCAACAGUAAUAGCAUUAAACGCAACGAUCAAACACGACCCGCUUCAGGACAAUUGAAAGUAAAGCCAUUUGCAAAUGUAAAGAAAGAGGAGACUUCUAAUGAUGAUCAAUUAUCAUUGGAUGUAAAGAAUUCAGAUUUGAUUGAUGAAGUUUCUAAGGGUGCGAGAUGGGAAGCUCGCCCAAACAUUUACCUUCGAGGAACUUGCAGCCGCAACAGGCAAUUUCCUGUCAGAUUGUUUCUUGGGUGGAGGAGGUUUUGGCAAAGUUUACAAGGGGCACUUGGAUAGAAUCAACCAGNUGGAUAAAAUCAACCAGGUUGUUGCUAUUAAGCAACUUGAUCGAAAUGGCCUUCAAGGGACUAGGGAGUUCGUAAUUGAGGUAUUAACAUUAAGUCUAGCAGAUCAUCCCAAUCUUGUCAAGUUGAUUGGGUAUUGUGCUGAGGGAGAUCAGAGGCUAUUGGUGUAUGAGUACAUGUCAUUAGGAUCUCUAGAAAACCAUCUGCAUGAUCUUCCACAUAAUAGGCAACCACUUGAUUGGAACACAAGAAUGAAAAUAGCUGCUGGUGCAGCAAAGGGUUUAGAAUACUUACAUGACAAAAUGAAGCCUCCUGUUAUAUAUCGUGAUCUGAAAUGCUCCAAUAUUUUGAUUGGUGAGGACUAUCAUCCAAAGCUGUCUGAUUUUGGCCUGGCCAAAGUGGGACCCAGUGGGGAUAAAACUCAUGUUUCUACAAGGGUUAUGGGCACAUAUGGGUAUUGUGCGCCAGACUAUGCAAUGACAGGUCAACUGACAUUUAAAUCAGAUGUUUAUAGCUUUGGAGUGGUUCUUUUGGAGCUCAUCACAGGCAGGAAAGCAAUUGAUCAAACAAGGGAUCGUAAUGAGCAGAAUCUUGUUGCUUGGGCACGACCUAUGUUCAAAGACCGGA
rnacentral:misc_RNA from 1 species